rnacentral:rRNA from 1 species
AGUAUGAGUAGGUCUUGAAACUUAAAGUAUUUGGCGGUUUUUUAGGCUAGUUAGAGGAAUCUGUUUUUUGAUCGAUGGUCCUCGUGGGGUUUUACUUUUUCUUUAAAUAUCGCCGUCGACGUCAGGUCAAGAUUUAGCUGAUGGAAAAGGUUGAAAGUGGAUUUAAAAGUUUAUGGUGUUACUUUGAGCUCUGAAAUGAGU